rnacentral:rRNA from 1 species
GGGGAAUCUUCCGCAAUGGGCGAAAGCCUGACGGAGCAAUACCGCGUGAGGGAGGAAGGCUCUUGGGUCGUAAACCUCUUUUCUCAGGGAAGAACACAAUGACGGUACCUGAGGAAUAAGCAUCGGCUAACUCCGUGCCAGCAGCCGCGGUAAUACGGAGGAUGCAUGCGUUAUCCGGAAUGAUUGGGCGUAAAGCGUCCGCAGGUGGCUGUGUAAGUCUGCUGUUAAAGAGUGAGGCUCAACCUCAUAAAAGCAGUGGAAACUACACGGCUAGAGUGCGUUCGGGGCAGAGGGAAUUCCUGGUGUAGCGGUGAAAUGCGUAGAGAUCAGGAAGAACACCGGUGGCGAAAGCGCUCUGCUAGGCCGCAACUGACACUGAGGGACGAAAGCUAGGGGAGCGAAAGGGAUUAGAUACCCCAGUAGUC